ensembl:lncRNA
CGACUGUUCUCGUGAGCCCAUGCAGAAGGCCACUGUAUUCUCAAGGGAUGGCAAAAGGUACACUGGACGCUGCUGUCAAUUUUUGUGACUUCUGAGAGUCUGCAGGAAGGUAUGGUAUAGGUUCAGAGCCAAAGUAUAUGGCUAUCUAUUCUUAGACAGCUGUCUCAGUUAAACUACUUUGACUGAAGAGCUCCACAGUCAGACUCCCAUAGCAUGUUCAGGGAUGGCCCGGCAAUAGCAUUAGUGCCCAUGUUCAUGAACAGCAGAAGUGAACAGUCCAAGAGCAAGAUUCCUCAUGACCUGAGACCUGCAUGCUGAAGAACAAGAAGACCCCUCACUACAAAAGGCUACAUGCUGACGGACUCUCCAGGGUCUGCUACCGGAGACCUGCUGCUUCCUCCUGGACUUCUUCCUGGACCUACUUGGCACCUGCACCUUCUUGCUGCCUAAGACCGGCCACGCUGCUGCUGAUCUUCCCCUGAGCUUUUGCCCCGGACUGUCGGAACAUUGUGCAACGGGACCACUGCUGGAUCCUGGUGAUGACUAUCCCCGCUUUACGCAAUUCUUGCUUCAUUCUAUCUUUUCUGUUGCCACCCUCCCUACCCUUUCACC